rnacentral:lncRNA from 1 species
UUUGGUUGGAAAAUUCCACUUUAACACAUGCUAUAUAUAUGCCUUGCCAAUUUGAAAAGUAGGGAGAGGCUUACCCACCCAAUAAUUUGAAGAGUAUUGAUGACAUCAUCGAUCAUCUUCAUGCUAAGAUUCCAAGCAAUCAAAGUUCAAAGAGUUGAGUCCAUGUCCAUUUGCAAGAAUGUUAACAACCUUGAAAGAAUAUGAUGCAACUCAAGAUUAACUGUUUGAUUACCUUCUCAUAAAUAGAUGAGCUCAACUAAUCUUUCGAAUUGAACAAUGCUGAGUUCGGAUCCUCCGAAAUUCACUUAAACUGUAGGACUAAUGCGAAAUCCAAAUACACAGACCAUAAAUAAGCCAAAUUAAGCCCUGUAUUUUUGAACUCUCUGUUGCAUCACAGUUCUCCAACUCCAAAGAGAGAUGAUCGUCUCCUGUUGCACCAGAAUUCCAUUGAGGAAACAAGAAAACAAAAUGUUUAUAAACCACAACAACUUCACCUGAUUUCGUUGGUAUAUAUACAUAUAUAUCGAAACCCAAAUUUAGGAAAAGCGAAAAACCAACAAAUAAAAAAUAAUUAUAAAUAAAACAAGCAUC